rnacentral:rRNA from 1 species
AUUACCGAGUUUACAACUCCCAAACCCAAUGUGAACGUUACCAAACUGUUGCCUCGGCGGGGUCACGCCCCGGGUGCGUAAAAGCCCCGGAACCAGGCGCCCGCCGGAGGAACCAACCAAACUCUUUCUGUAGUCCCCUCGCGGACGUAUUUCUUACAGCUCUGAGCAAAAAUUCAAAAUGAAUCAAAACUUUCAACAACGGAUCUCUUGGUUCUGGCAUCGAUGAAGAACGCAGCGAAAUGCGAUAAGUAAUGUGAAUUGCAGAAUUCAGUGAAUCAUCGAAUCUUUGAACGCACAUUGCGCCCGCCAGUAUUCUGGCGGGCAUGCCUGUCCGAGCGUCAUUUCAACCCUCGAACCCCUCCGGGGGAUCGGCGUUGGGGAUCGGGACCCCUCACCGGGUGCCGGCCCUGAAAUACAGUGGCGGUCUCGCCGCAGCCUCUCCUGCGCAGUAGUUUGCACAACUCGCACCGGGAGCGCGGCGCGUCCACGUCCGUAAAACACCCAACUUCUGAAAUGUUGACCUCGGAUCAGGUAGGAAUACCCGCUGAACUUAAGCAUAUCA